UUGCUCUGAAUUUUUUCCAAGUCUGGCCUGACAUUAUUAGAGGAUAUUCACCACUUUCCUGGAUACAAAUGAGAUUUUUAUUUUUUAAACAGAAUACACUGAUUUUCCAUUAACAGAAUACCUCAUCAAACUCCUGAGUCAUUUUCUUAAUGAUAAGUGUAUGGUCCAUUUGAGCCAUAUCUGGUGUGACCUUUCCUCGACACCCAGAGGAAUUUAUGAAAAACUGCAUGAGCUGCACCAGUGCACUUUCCUUGUUGCUUUUGUACUCCUCAAUCCACAUGUCAACAACUUGCUAAAGAAGAAGCAAAAAUUACAUGAUAAUUUUAGAAGGCAGGAGAACUGGGGGUGGAGAGUAUGCAGGUGGUGGUGGAGCUCCACCUCUUCCUCGGCCUCUGCCUCGACCACCUCGACCGCGUCUGGGACGAACUGGGGGCGGCGGAGGCGACUCUGCUAAUCGUCCGA